ACCUGGCUGACUCAGUCAGUGGAGCGUGUGACUGUUGAUCAUGAAGUUGUGAGUUCAAGCCCCACGUUGGGUA
rnacentral:tRNA from 1 species